GUUUCAGCAGCCGCGGUAAUACAGAGGGUGCGAGCGUUGUCCGGAAUCACUGGGCGUAAAGGGCGUGUAGGUGGCUUGGUAAGCCGCGUGUGAAAUCCCGGGGCUCAACCCCGGAACGGCACGCGGGACUGUCAGGCUAGAGCAUGGUAGAGGCGAGUGGAAUUCCUGGUGUAGCGGUGGAAUGCGUAGAGAUCAGGAAGAACACCGGUGGCGAAGGCGGCUCGCUGGGCCAUUGCUGACACUGAGGCGCGAAAGCGUGGGGAGCAAACAGGAUUAGAAACCCCUGUAGUCC
rnacentral:rRNA from 1 species